ACGAGGGGCUUCUCACUCAGUCUUCAUACAACUGCCAUAACAACCAGGUUAACAUUAAAAAUCGACGAUAACUGAAAAGGUAUACCAUCAUGGGUUUUAAAGGUUUUACGGUCUUCAUGUGUUUGUUGAUGGGAUGUCAUUGUAAACCAAUUGUUGACAAGAUUGGAGUGUUUGGCGGCAGUUGUCCGCUGCUCAGGGCUAAACGAGUUAAUUCAGGAGCUCCUACACUAGGCUUUGGCAGUUGUUGCAGUAAAGAUUCAGGAACAGAUUUUGUUAUAACGA